GUAGGUGGCAAGCGUUGUCCGGAAUUAUUGGGCGUAAAGCGCGCGCAGGCGGUUCUUUAAGUCUGAUGUGAAAGCCCACGGCUCAACCGUGGAGGGUCACUGGAAACUGGAGAACUUGAGUACAGAAGAGGAAAGCGGAAUUCCACGUGUAGCGGUGAAAUGCGUAGAGAUGUGGAGGAACACCAGUGGCGAAGGCGGCUUUCUGGUCUGUAACUGACGCUGAGGCGCGAAAGCGUGGGGAGCAAACAGGGAUUAGAUACCCUGGUAGUCCACGCCGUAAACGAUGAGUGCUAAGUGUUAGGGGGGUUUCCGCCCCCUUAGUGCUGCAGCUAACGCAUUAAGCACUCCGCCUGGGGAUACGGCCGCAAGGCUG
rnacentral:rRNA from 1 species